UGGGGAAUAUUGCACAAUGGGCGCACGCCUGAUGCAGCCAUGCCGCGUGUAUGAAGAAGGCCUUCGGGUUGUAAAGUACUUUCAGCGAGGAGGAAGGCGUUGUGGUUAAUAACCGCAACGAUUGACGUUACUCGCAGAAGAAGCACCGGCUAACUCCGUGCCAGCAGCCGCGGUAAUACGGAGGGUGCAAGCGUUAAUCGGAAUUACUGGGCGUAAAGCGCACGCAGGCGGUCUGUCAAGUCGGAUGUGAAAUCCCCGGGCUCAACCUGGGAACUGCAUCCGAAACUGGCAGGCUAGAGUCUUGUAGAGGGGGGUAGAAUUCCAGGUGUAGCGGUGAAAUGCGUAGAGAUCUGGAGGAAUACCGGUGGCGAAGGCGGCCCCCUGGACAAAGACUGACGCUCAGGUGCGAAAGCGUGGGGAGCAAACA
rnacentral:rRNA from 1 species